rnacentral:rRNA from 1 species
GACGAACGCUGGCGGCGUGCCUAAUACAUGCAAGUUGAGCGCUGAAGGUUGGUACUUGUACCAACUGGAUGAGCAGCGAACGGGUGAGUAACGCGUGGGGAAUCUGCCUUUGAGCGGGGGACAACAUUUGGAAACGAAUGCUAAUACCGCAUAAAAACUUUAAACACAAGUUUUAAGUUUGAAAGAUGCAAUUGCAUCACUCAAAGAUGAUCCCGCGUUGUAUUAGUUAGUUGGUGAGGUAAAGGCUCACCAAGGCGAUGAUACAUAGCCGACCUGAGAGGGUGAUCGGCCACAUUGGGACUGAGACACGGCCCAAACUCCUACGGGAGGCAGCAGUGGGGAAUCUUCGGCAAUGGACGAAAGUCUGACCGAGCAACGCCGCGUGAGUGAAGAAGGUUUUCGGAUCGUAAAACUCUGUUGGUAGAGAAGAACGUUGGUGAGAGUGGAAAGCUCAUCAAGUGACGGUAACUACCCAGAAAGGGACGGCUAACUACGUG